rnacentral:rRNA from 1 species
GACGAACGCUGGCGGCGUGCUUAACACAUGCAAGUCGAACGGAAAGGCCCUGCUUUUGUGGGGUGCUCGAGUGGCGAACGGGUGAGUAACACGUGAGUAACCUGCCCUUGACUUUGGGAUAACUUCAGGAAACUGGGGCUAAUACCGGAUAGGAGCUCCUGCUGCAUGGUGGGGGUUGGAAAGUUUCGGCGGUUGGGGAUGGACUGGCGGCUUAUCAGCUUGUUGGUGUGGUAGUGGCUGACCAAGGUUUUGACGGGUAGCCGGCCUGAGAGGGUGACCGGCCACAUGGGGACUGAGAUACGGCCCAGAAUCCUACGGGAGGCAGCAGUGGGGAAUAUUGCACAAUGGGCGGAAGCCUGAUGCAGCAACGCCGCGUGCGGGAUGACGGCCUUCGGGUUGUAAACCGCUUUCGCCUGUGACGAAGCGUGAGUGACGGUAAUGGGUAAAGAAGCACCGGCUAACUACGUG